rnacentral:rRNA from 1 species
UACCCUGGUAGUCCACGCCGUAAACGAUGAGUGCUAAGUGUUAGAGGGUUUCCGCCCUUUAGUACUGAAGUUAACGCAUUAAGCACUCCGCCUGGGGAGUACGGCCGCAAGGCUGAAACUCAAAGGAAUUGAUGGGGGCCCGCACAAGCGGUGGAGCAUGUGGUUUAAUUCGAAGCAACGCGAAGAACCUUACCAGGUCUUGACAUCCUCUGACAACCCUAGAGAUAGGGCUUCUCCUUCGGGAGCAGAGUGACAGGUGGUGCACGGUUGUCGUCAGCUCGUGUCGUGAGAUGUUGGGUUAAGUCCCGCAACGAGCGCAACCCUUGAUCUUAGUUGCCAUCAUUAAGUUGGGCACUCUAAGGUGACUGCCGGUGACAAACCGGAGGAAGGUGGGGAUGACGUCAAAUCAUCAUGCCCCUUAUGACCUGGGCUACACACGUGCUACAAUGGGCAGAACAAAGGGCAGCGAAGCCGCGAGGCUAAGCCAAUCCCACAAAUCUGUUCUCAGUUCGGAUCGCAGUCUGCA